GGCCUGGCUGGGCGGUCCGCUUCACAGCGUGUACUGUCUGGCUGGGUCUUACUUCUUGGUGAGCUGGCGUGCCCUUUAUUGGUGUGCGUUGGGGAACCAGGACUUUUACCUUGAGAAAAUUAGAGUGUUCAAAGCAGGCUAUUGCCUGAAUACAUUAGCAUGGAAUAAUGAAAUAGGACGGACGGUUCUAUUUUGUUGGUUAUGGGACCACCGUA
rnacentral:rRNA from 1 species